GCUGCUCCGCUUCACUCUGCGGGGGCGGGACCGGGCUGUACCCUCAGCUGGGGAGUCCGGCGCCCCACAGGCUGUUCUGAGCGGCAGCCUACAGGCCCUGUUCAUUCUACCUAAAGGUCAAGUACAGUUCUUUUUGCCUUGCUGGAGACUGGUGUUUGAAGUGGGAGGACUGGUGUCAACAUCAAGGGGACCAGAAUCGUGCAUCAUCAUCAGCCCCACCACAUUCUGACCUCAGUGACAUCUCCACAACCCAGACAAUAAAUCACAAAUUCCGAUCAUCUGGGAAAAGUGGAUAACCAAGACCCCAGGAUUGCCAUUAAUCUUUAGGAAAUGUCCUGCACUCAAAACACAGCUAUCCAGACUUACUCUUUUCUUCAAUCAUCAUUUUAUACUUUCUGUAGAUGGAUCUCUAUAUUUUGAAAUUAAGUUCCCCAUCCCUUACUGACUUGGUCUUUUCUCAUUUGAUGUUUCUUUUUUUCUGAACCCGAAUGUAUAUAUCUGACUGUUGUUUAAAGGUGAACUAAAUGCUCUUUAAAUAAAAAUAACCCCCCAAUUAUUAACCCAACAUAUGUGCAAACA